CAACAGAUGAUGCCUAUCAACUGUUUAAAAGAAUGGUUCUGCUAUCACUCUUGGAUGGACCUGCGGUGCAUUAGCUAGUUGGGUAGGGGUAACGGGCCUACCAAGGCGAUGAUGCAUAGCCCGAGUUGAGAGACUGAUCGGGCCACAUUGGGACUGAGACACGGCCCAAACUCCUACGGGAGGCAGCAGUAGGGGAAUCUUCCACAAUGGACGCAAAGUCUGAUGGAGCAACGCCGCGUGAGUGAAGAAGGGUUUCGGCUCGUAAAAACUCUGUUGUUGGUGAAGAAGGACAGGGGUAGUAACUGACCCUUUGUUUGACGGUAAUCAAUUUAGAAAGUCACGGGCUAACUACGUGCCCAGCAGCCGCGGUAAAU
rnacentral:rRNA from 1 species